rnacentral:misc_RNA from 1 species
GGAAGCCCUAGAAGGAGGUGUGGAUGGUAAUGGGAGCCGCUGGCUCGAAGCUGGAGAAAGCCCUAGGGGAGCAGUUCCCCGAGGGCGAGCGCUACUUCGGACUCGAGAAUUUCGGCAACACCUGCUACUGCAACAGCGUUCUCCAGGCACUUUACUUUUGUGUUCCUUUUCGAGAGAAGUUACUGGAAUAUUAUGGAAAUAAUAAGAACUUGAGUGAAGAUGAGAACCUCUUGAC